GCGUCGGUAGUGCAACGGUUAGCAUACGCUCCCGGAAAGAGUGAGAUCUGGGUUCGAAUCUGGGCUGACGCA